GGCAGUUAGGGGGAGGAAGGGCUGGAAGGCUGAUCAUAGGCUGUUAGUACUCACCACCCACACCACACCCCUGGCAACAGCACUGCCUCUAGGAAGAGCCAUAAAACAAUUUGUACCCCAAAUUCAGUUUGUGCUAUUCUAGAGACUUCACUUAUGGGGACAUACUUUACCUAAGUGUGUAAACUAACUAAAUUCCCACAAUAGGGGAAUGGGGUUAUAAUGACAACCCCUUGGGAAAAUACUUACGAUGGAUAUAGCUCUUUCCUCAGCUCCUUUCCCUGGAACAUGUUUCAGAAAAGAGAAGGAAGAGCUGAGCAUGUUUUCAGAGGAGACCAGACUGGAAGCAAGAACUUCUUGGACCACACUACCUGCUGCUGCCUGAGAGUACACAGCGAUCUGAUCAAAAAGGCACCGUGGUGUGGUCUGUUCCAGUCCAGGCCACCGAAAAGCAAUCGUGUGUGCUGUCAAUGGGCCACAGCGCUGUCUAAACUAACUUCAUAACAGAAGUGGGAAAAAUAAGGAACUGAAGCACAGGAAAAUCAAACAGCUCUCCCAAAGCCACAGCACCGUCUCCCAGAGUCCACGCCCUUGACCACUCUACUGAACUGACACAAAGAGGUUUCAGAACAAUGUGCAAAGCAUGGGACCUGUCAAUAUCAAUAAAGCUUUUUAAAGGACUGGAAGGAAAUAUGCUAAACUGAUAAAAAUGUUGCCUAGGCCAGCCGU